AGUGAACGCUGGCGGUAGGCCUAACACAUGCAAGUCGAACGGCAGCACAGUAAGAGCUUGCUCUUACGGGUGGCGAGUGGCGGACGGGUGAGGAAUGCAUCGGAAUCUACUUUUUCGUGGGGGAUAACGUAGGGAAACUUACGCUAAUACCGCAUACGACCUACGGGUGAAAGCAGGGGAUCUUCGGACCUUGCGCGAUUGAAUGAGCCGAUGUCGGAUUAGCUAGUUGGCGGGGUAAAGGCCCACCAAGGCGACGAUCCGUAGCUGGUCUGAGAGGAUGAUCAGCCACACUGGAACUGAGACACGGUCCAGACUCCUACGGGAGGCAGUAGUGGGGAAUAUUGGACAAUGGGCGCAAGCCUGAUCCAGCCAUACCGCGUGGGUGAAGAAGGCCUUCAGGUUGUAAAGCCCUUUUGUUGGGAAAGAAAAGCAGCAGGUUAAUACCCCGCUGUUCUGACGGUACCCAAAGAAUAAGCACCGGCUAACUUCGUG
rnacentral:rRNA from 1 species